AGUUUUUACUAAGGCUAAUUGUGAAAUUGAAUACUCCUCACAUAGGGAGUUUUUAAUGUUUGCAGAGGCAUUUUGUCAGCAGUUUUUGUGCUAUUUAAAAGAUCAGUGUCUAAUGGGAUUAAGUUGGAUAAUCAAAUAACAAACUGAGAUCUGGGUACAUGGUUUGAUGCCUGUGGAGUACUUCUUUGAUGAAUAUAAAUGAAAAGUGUCUCGUGGUUUGGAGUAGAAGUCACCAUGCCACUACGCAUGGUGUUUCUGCUAAGUCAGCACCUUGGCAUGAAAUUGAGACUCAGAUGGAGAAGUGGACUAAUAUGAGAAGAAGAAACCUGGCAAGGUUUCACUUUAGUGGAAUGGAAAAUGCUGUGUGAUAUUGUGGAAACUGGAGUACACAGACACUAGAACUAGCUGGCCGCUUCUGAGCUGGCAGGGGUGGACUCCACUCUCUGGGUCCCACUGUGUUCCACCUGUCUCAGGAGUAGGAGUGCAGGAUUUGAAUCAAGAGCCAUGAUUUCAUGUUAUAGAAAACUGUACAUUCUUCAAUUAAUGAAAAUGAAGAGCUUAUUGACUAAAUAUUAUUGAAGAAAUUCAUUAUCUGUGAGAACACGAAAAAUUUGCGACCUAUCCCAAAUUUCAAGCAAGCAGUGGAGGAGAACUAACUUGACAGCAUGUUGAAACAUGCAAUGGAGAAAAAGUGUAAGGUCAAUGGAGACUGCUAUUUUUUGGUGGAGCAAUUACAUUUACAGAGCAUUUUGCAAUGUACAAAACUUUACAUGAAAAUUUACAAUUUGUAUUCUUUUGAGUUUCUUAUAGUCACUAGAAAGGUAAAUAAGUCAGGGUUUGCCCAAUGUCCCAUCAACUCUAAAUAGUAAAGGGAAGAGGAGUUCAGAUGUCUGGCUCCUAGGCAAUCUCUCCAAUCUCUCUUCAUUUCAGUUAGCUGCUUCUUCUGACUACCUGUCUUAAUUUUCUCCAUGCUGUUAUUCUUUCACGAUAUGCUUACCACAUUUGAUCUAACACUUAGUAUGGUGUGUGGUACAUAACAGGAGCUCAAUGAAUACGUACGUGUUGAAUGAAUAACUGGAUGAAUGAAUAAAUAAAUGAGUAGAUAAGUGAGUGUGUUCAUUCGUGUUCAAGACACUGGAGUCUGAGUUGGUGGUUACAUUUAGCACCUUUAGCAGGGUUGCUCUAACAUACCUGAUACAUACUUUCUUUCAGAAGAUGGCAAUUUGGAUCAUUUUGCCUCUUUUAUUCUAUGAUUUGACAAGCAUUGAGUUUUUUGAGUACUAUUUUUUGCUUUGUUUGAGGAUGUUUAUUUCAUUUUGAGAAGCUAAUAUCUUGUAAGGAUGGUACACUGGGAAUUACAAAGUGAUCUGCAGUUUUAUUUUCCUUAUAUUUGAGUUUAAGAAAUCUCCUAAAUAGGAAAAUUGAAAAGAAACUCUUAUAGUUUUACAUGAUACAUGAACCAGACCCCUCUAUUUCAUAAGCUACUCUUAUACAUGCUAUCUUCAUAAUUAGUUUCUUUAUUAUCAGACAUUAAGAAAAGUUUGGAAGGCUCAAAAAUCUUCCCUGAUAUUUUUCAUUUUCUACAACAGUAGGCUCACAGUGAUCUAGGUGAUGACAUUUAUGAAUCCUGUAUGUAGUUUUCAACUUCCCUAAGAAAUAUUUACAUUUUUUCCAACUUAGUUUAUUCACUUGUCCUGCUCAAUGUGUUGGUAUAAAUAUGGAUUUAAUUCUCAUUAUAUUUUCACUUUGGGCUUGUCAUUCUGUGCUGAAUUGGAAUUUUCAAUCUUAAUGCCAUACAUGAAUAUUUACAUGGAUUGUUGGAUUGCAAAAAGGAGCUGGAAAAGAAACUAUCAUCAGAGCAAACCGACAACCUACAAUGGGAGAAAAUUUUUGCAACCUAUCCAAUUAACAAAGGUCUAAUAUCGAGAGUCUACAUCUAUGAGGAAGUUAAACAAGCUAUAGGAAAAACAACCCCAUUAAAAAGUGGACAAAGGACAUGAAUAGACACUUCUCAAAAGAAGACAUUUAUGUGGCCAACAAACAUGAUAAAAAGCUUAACAUCACUGAUCAUUAGGGAAAUGCAAAUGAAAACCACAAUGAGAUACUAUCUCACACCAGUCAGAAUGGCCAUUAUUAAAAAGCCAAAAAACAACAGAUGCUGGCAAGGCUGUGGAGAAAUAGAAACACUUUUACACUGUUAGUGGACAUGUAAAUUAGUUCAACCAUUGUGGAAGACAGUGUGGUGAUUCCUAAAAGACCUAGAACCAGAAAUACUUUUUGACCGAGUAAUCUCAUUACAGGGUAUAUAUCCAAAGGGCUAUAAAUCCCUCUAUUAUUAUUAUUAUUAUUUGAGAUGGAGUCUCACUCUGUCUCCAGGCCGGAGUGCAGUGGCGUGAUAUCAGCUCACUGCAACCUCCACCUCCCAGGAUUAAGCAAUUAUCUUGCCUCAGCUUCCUGAGUAGUUGGGACUACAGGCGCACACCACCACGCCCAGCUAAUUUUUUUUUUUUUUUGUAUUUUUGGUAGAGACGGGGUUUCAUCAUGUUGGCCAGGAUGGUCUUGAUCUCUUGACAUCAUGGUCUGCCCACCUCGACCUCCUAAAGUGCUGGGAUUACAGAUAAGAGCCACUGAACUUGGCCAUAAAUCAUUCUAUUAUAAAGAUACAUGCACACAUAUGUUCACUGCAGCACUCUUCACAAUAGCAAUGACAUGGAAUCAAUCCAAAUGCCCAUCAGUGAAAGACUGGAUAAAGAAAAUGUGGUACGUAUAUACCAUAGAAUAGUAUGCAGCCAUAAAAAGGAAUAAGGUCAUGACCUUUGCAGGAACAGAUCGAACUGGAAGUCAUUAUCCUCAGCAAACUAACACAGGAACAGAAAACCAAAUACUGCAUGUUCUCACAUCUAAGUGGGAGCUGAACAAUGAGAACACAUGGACACAGGGAAGGGAACAAAACACACUGAGGCCUGUCAGUAGUGGGGAGUAGAGAGGGAGAGGAUCAGGAAAAAUAGCUAAUUCACACUGGGCUUAAUACUUAGGUGAUGGGUUGAUAGAUGAAGCGAACCACCAUGGCACAUGUUUACCUAUGUAACAAAGCUGCACAUCCUGCACAUGUACCCUGGAACUUAAAAUAAAAUAAAAAUAAAAGAAUAAAGGAGCUGGGUUGUUGGAUUAAAAGAGUUGUUGGAUUCAAAAGAAGACAGGCAGGACUGUAUGCACAUGGUAAAUGCUGCUAGGGAAACAAUUCCUUAGUAAACAUUUUUAAUUGUGGUUGAACAUGAAUCAAGGUAGUUUUCACAAAGAAAUAGUACCACUAGAAUGAAUGUAUAGUAUUUUUUAAUAUAAAUGCAGAAUGAUACCGUGUGGACUAUGCACUUCAGCAAUAACUUUUAGUAAUUGCAAUCAUAUCAAUUCUGCAGUUAAAGGGAUUGCU
rnacentral:lncRNA from 10 species